rnacentral:rRNA from 1 species
UACGUAGGGAGCAAGCGUUGUCCGGAAUCAUUGGGCGUAAAGAGCGCGUAGGCGGCUUUAUAAGUCCGUUGUGAAAGUCAAAGGCUCAACCUUUGAAAGCCGAUGGAUACUGUGAAGCUAGAGUACGGAAGAGGCGAGUGGAAUUCCUGGUGUAGCGGUGGAAUGCGCAGAUAUCAGGAGGAACACCAAUAGCGAAGGCAGCUCGCUGGGACGUUACUGACACUGAGGCGCGAAAGCGUGGGGAGCGAACAGG